rnacentral:rRNA from 1 species
UACGUAGGGGGCAAGCGUUGUCCGGAUUUAUUGGGCGUAAAGAGCUCGUAGGCGGUUUGUCACGUCUGCUGUGAAAUCCCGAGGCUCAACCUCGGGCCUGCAGUGGGUACGGGCAGACUGGAGUGCGGUAGGGGAGAAUGGAAUUCCUGGUGUAGCGGUGGAAUGCGCAGAUAUCGGAAGGAACACCAGUGGCGAAAGCGGCUUCCUGGUCCAGCAUCGACGUUCAGGCACGAAAGCGUGGGGAGCAAACGGG